GAUGAAGACGUAGUGAAAUGCGAUAAGUAAUGUGAAUUGCAGAAUUCAGUGAAUCAUCGAAUCUUUGAACGCACAUUGCGCCCGCCAGUAUUCUGGCGGGCAUGCCUGUUCGAGCGUCAUUUCAACCAUCAAGCCCCCGGCUUGUGUUGGGGACCUGCGGCUGCCGCAGGCCCUGAAAUGCAGUGGCGGGCUCGCUGUCACUCCGAGCGUAGUAGUUACAUCUCGCUCUGGGCGUGCUGCGGGUUCCGGCCGUUAAAAGCCUUAUUUACCCAAGGUUGACCUCGGAUCAGGUAGGAAGACCCGCUGAACUUAAGCAUAUCAAUAAGCGGAGGA
rnacentral:misc_RNA from 1 species